rnacentral:rRNA from 1 species
GAUGAACGCUAGCGGCAGGCUUAACACAUGCAAGUCGAGGGGCAGCACGAUGUAGCAAUACAUGGGUGGCGACCGGCGCACGGGUGCGUAACACGUAUGGAAUCUGCCCUUUACUGGGGGAUAGCCCGGAGAAAUCCGGAUUAAUACCCCAUAACAAUCGAGGUGGCAUCACCUUGAUUUGAAAGCUCCGGCGGUAAAGGAUGACCAUGCGCACGAUUAGCUAGUUGGUGAGGUAACGGCUCACCAAGGCUACGAUCGUUAGGGGGCCUGAGAGGGUUAUCCCCCACACUGGUACUGAGACACGGACCAGACUCCUACGGGAGGCAGCAGUGAGGAAUAUUGCGCAAUGGAGGCAACUCUGACGCAGCCAUGCCGCGUGCAGGAAGAAGGCGCUACGCGUUGUAAACUGCUUUUAACCGGGAAGAACCCCAGGACGUGUCCUGGGUUGACGGUACCGGAGGAAUAAGCACCGGCUAACUUCGUGCCAGCAGCCGAC